ACCUACAAAACAAAACAUGUUAGUCAUGAUAAACAAACACACACAACCAAUUUGUAUUGGUCUCAUUGGACAAUUGUUGGUUAACCUGAAAAAAUGAACUCAAAUGUGAGUAACAGGACCACUAGGACAAGCCUAGGGUCAAAAGAGAAUGAAAAAGUCAAAACAGAAAAUGGCAAGUGUCCAAAAUCAUGUUAAAACAAUCAAGAAACAAACCCAAUUGGUUUCACAUUCAUAUCAAUCAUCAUCAUCAUUUCAUGAACAAGUUAGGUCAAAGCAUGGCAUU
rnacentral:lncRNA from 1 species